GCUGCUGUGCCUGGUUGUGUUCGAGAUCGCCCGCAGGGGAAGCAGACCGGGGAGCUCUGGCCAAAAUGACCAGGAUCCCGAUUUCAAGCACCAAAAGAGUGUUUAAAACACACACGCUUCAAAGAUGACUGGAGUGGACAGCACUCCUGUGAGGUAGGUUAGGCUGAUGGUGAGUGUCUGGUCCAAGCAACCUUCCAUGGCAGACGGGAUUUGAACCUGAGUCUUCCAGAUCCUAGUCCAACACUCUUAACUACUGCAUGACUCUGGCGCUCAUGGGGCUGGGAAGAGGUUGGAUUUGUGCAUUCGACAAGAUGACAUCUAAUUUGGCAUUUAGAGCUGGUAAACUGACCAGACAUACAAGUGUUUCUGAGGAAUGAAUAGGUGCACAAGGCUUGAUGUUCCCCCACAUUAAACAGCACCCCUGAAUAGGGGAGUGUAACAUGUUUCAGUCAAUAAUGCAGGCUCAAGCCGUAGGUGCUGCUAGCAACCUUCGUUGGAUUCCCUAGUCAUGUAAUCCCCAUAGGGGUGUGUCUAUACACUGGGACUGUGGUGCUGGGAAGAGGGGAUAUAAUUCUUCCCCAUUUUCUCAGUGAGAUAUGUUCUCUGUGUCUGCUUUAGGCUCUGGGCAAUAAUAAUAUGGGUAUUGGAUGUGGCCCCAGAGAAUGAAGCAACUCUUGCAUAUGGAGCCAAUGCUUGUACAAGAAUCAGAACCCCGCCCCCACCCCUGAUCCUAAGAAUGAAUACUAUGACUGACUCUCUACUCUUGUUGGGUGAUUGUUGGCCAGUCAUACACUUUAAACCUAACUUACCUCACAGGGUUGUUGUGAGGAUACAAUGGAGAAGGGGAGAAUGCUGUAAUUCACUUCGGGAAAAUGUUGCAAUUUGCUUUGAUGAAAAUAGAAAUGCAGUUUUAAAUAUAGUUCUGCUUAUA